rnacentral:ribozyme from 1 species
GGCUGGCAAAGUCCGACCCCCACCUCCACGUGGUGCCGGCCGGGUGCAAUAGAUCCCACCCCAUUCUCUGGGGUUGCAGCCGACGGGGGCGG